AUUGAACGCUGGCGGCAUGCCUUACACAUGCAAGUCGAACGGUAACAGGUCUUCGGAUGCUGACGAGUGGCGAACGGGUGAGUAAUACAUCGGAACGUGCCCGAUCGUGGGGGAUAACGAGGCGAAAGCUUUGCUAAUACCGCAUAAGAUCUAUGGAUGAAAGCAGGGGACCGCAAGGCCUUGCGCGAACGGAGCGGCCGAUGGCAGAUUAGGUAGUUGGUGGGGUAAAGGCUUACCAAGCCUACGAUCUGUAGCUGGUCUGAGAGGACGACCAGCCACACUGGGACUGAGACACGGCCCAGACUCCUACGGGAGGCAGCAGUGGGGAAUUUUGGACAAUGGGCGCAAGCCUGAUCCAGCCAUGCCGCGUGCAGGAUGAAGGCCUUCGGGUUGUAAACUGCUUUUGUACGGAACGAAAAGGUUCGGGUUAAUACCCUGGGCCCAUGACGGUACCGUAAGAAUAAGCACCGGCUAACUACGUGCCAGCAGCCGCCGUAAAAC
rnacentral:rRNA from 1 species